GAUGAACGCUGGCGGCGUGCCUAACACAUGCAAGUCGAGCGAACAGACGAGGAGUUUGCUCCUCUGACGUGAGCGGCGGACGGGUGAGUAACACGUGGAUAACCUACCUAUAAGACUGGGAUAACUUCGGGAAACCGGAUCUAAUACCGGAUAAUAUAUUGAACCGCAUGGUUCAAUAGUGAAAGACGGUUUUGCUGUCACUUAUAGAUGGUUCCGGGCCGCAUUAGCUAGUUGGUAAGGUAACGGCUUACCAAGGCAACGAUGCGUAGCCGACCUGAGAGGGUGAUCGGCCACACUGGAACUGAGACACGGUCCAGACUCCUACGGGAGGCAGCAGUAGGGAAUCUUCCGCAAUGGGCGAAAGCCUGACGGAGCAACGCCGCGUGAGUGAUGAAGGUCUUCGGAUCGUAAAGCUCUGUUAUUAGGGAAGAACAAAUGUGUAAGUAACUAUGCACGUCUUGACGGUACCUAAUCAGAAAGCCACGGCUAACUACGUG
rnacentral:rRNA from 1 species